GAUCACAAAUUCACAAUACUGAAACGACGUUGCCUAGUUUGAGAAGAAAUCAUUGGCAUAUAAAAGGAAGAAAUCAUUGGCAUAUAAAAGGAUGAGGUAUAAAAAGGGCCGUGCUUUCACCUCGACUACUCUUGAUCAUCGCUAGGGUUCCGUCUCUGAUCUCACCAUGUCCACCAACUCUAAAUUCAGCGUUUAUAUAGAAUAUGAAACUGAGGAGAUUGCUGAGUAUGCUGUCAGGCUUUUCUCCGGUGUUGUCACUCUCUACAAUCGAACACUCAGGUUUGCGACAAGCCUGCACCUAAUGUUGCUUCUACAGUGAUACCCACAACCAGUUUUUCUAACAAAUGAGGUCUACCCCUGUACCUAUUUACAAUUCAGAAAACUUAUCAGCAACCUGCAGAGUUUCAGCUUAUGCAGAAAAUUAUCCCUCAGUGCCCACUCCCCCUGGUGUAAAUAACCAAUCUAAUGGAUUAAAUUGGAUUGGCAAAAAUUUCAAGUAUAGUCGAAGAGUCAUUGGGGGCAACAUUGGAUACCAUUAGUCGCCCUAGGUCACGCCGCUAUGAUAUGAGUAAUCCAAUUUCCUACCCCUCCUACUAAAUUCAAAUAAUGAAGCACACAGAUACCAGACCUUUCCUGAUAAAUUAUUAAACUGAGGUAUCUUAUGGGUAGGUGGAUGCUGUAUUAAGCUAGUUUGGUCUGUUAGUGUGCCAAUUUAUAGGUGUACCCAGCUAUGUAUAUUUGCUGUACUUGUUGUACUUUCUAUGUUAAGAGUUGGUAAAUUGUAGUUGUAUUGUGUAAGAGUUCAUGCUACCCCUUCAGAAGGUUAGACUUUUGGAACUCUUGCAAGCAAAUUUCUCAUAUGAUAGCUUGUUUAUCUGCAUUGUAAUCUUUUAAUUUAAGUUGAUCUAAUUUACUUCUAUUUUUAGAAUAAUAAAUUUUGGCUGUG